rnacentral:rRNA from 1 species
CCUACGGGUGGCUGCAGUCGAGAAUCAUUCACAAUGGGGGAAACCCUGAUGGUGCGACGCCGCGUGGGGGAAUGAAGGUCUUCGGAUUGUAAACCCCUGUCAUGUGGGAGCAAAUUAAAAAGAUAGUACCACAAGAGGAAGAGACGGCUAACUCUGUGCCAGCAGCCGCGGUAAUACAGAGGUCUCAAGCGUUGUUCGGAAUCACUGGGCGUAAAGCGUUCGUAGGCUGUUUCGUAAGUCGGGUGUGAAAGGCGCGGGCUCAACCCGCGGACGGCACCUGAUACUGCGCGACUAGAGUAAGGGAGGGGGAACCGGAAUUCUCGGUGUAGCAGUGAAAUGCGUAGAUAUCGAGAGGAACACUCGUGGCGAAGGCGGGUUCCUGGACAUUAACUGACGCUGAGGCACGAAGGCCAGGGGAGCGAAAGGGAUUAGAGACCCGAGUAGUC